UACGGGAGGCAGCAGUGGGGAAUAUUGGGCAAUGGGGGAAACCCUGACCCAGCAACGCCGCGUGAGGGAAGAAGGUUUUCGGAUUGUAAACCUCUGUCCUUGGGGACGAACAAAUGACGGUACCCGAGGAGGAAGCCCCGGCUAACUACGUGCCAGCAGCCGCGGUAAU
rnacentral:rRNA from 1 species